rnacentral:rRNA from 1 species
AUUGAACGCUGGCGGCAGGCCUAACACAUGCAAGUCGAACGGUAACAGGAAGAAGCUUGCUUCUUUGCUGACGAGUGGCGGACGGGUGAGUAAUGUCUGGGAAACUGCCUGAUGGAGGGGGAUAACUACUGGAAACGGUAGCUAAUACCGCAUAACGUCGCAAGACCAAAGAGGGGGACCUUCGGGCCUCUUGCCAUCGGAUGUGCCCAGAUGGGAUUAGCUAGUAGGUGGGGUAACGGCUCACCUAGGCGACGAUCCCUAGCUGGUCUGAGAGGAUGACCAGCCACACUGGAACUGAGACACGGUCCAGACUCCUACGGGAGGCAGCAGUGGGGAAUAUUGCACAAUGGGCGCAAGCCUGAUGCAGCCAUGCCGCGUGUAUGAAGAAGGCCUUCGGGUUGUAAAGUACUUUCAGCGGGGAGGAAGGGAGUAAAGUUAAUACCUUUGCCCAUUGACGUUAUCCGCAGAAGAAGCACCGGCUAACUCCGUG